UACGUAGGGGGCUAGCGUUGUCCGGAAUCAUUGGGCGUAAAGCGCGUGUAGGCGGUCCGGUAAGUCCGCUGUGAAAGUCGAGGGCUCAACCCUCGAAUGCCGGUGGAUACUGUCGGGCUUGAGUACGGGAGAGGCGAGUGGAAUUCCUGGUGUAGCGGUGAAAUGCGUAGAUAUCGGGAGGAACACCAGUGGCGAAGGCGACUACCUGGCCUGUUUCUUGACGCUGAGGCGCGAAAGCUAGGGGAGCAAACGGG
rnacentral:rRNA from 1 species